UACAGGAGCUACCAGCUCAGUAAAAACAGGAAGUGGUAUGUGUAUAAAGACUUAAACCUGGAGCCCCACCAGGGUCAUGCUGCGCAGAAGACUGGAGUGCUGUCACUGGGGACAGUAAGGACGUCUGUGUAAAGGUGCCCCCUCCCUUCUCGGCUUCAGGAGUCUGGUGAACAGGAGCCAGGAAAUCCCACAGCCCUUUCCAUCAACGUCAUGCUUGCUGACUGGACAAUGGCCACCCCUUGAAAGCAAGCAGGGCAGCAUUACUCAAAGGCAAUUCUUAUAUAAAUUUAAGAAGCAUAAGCACCAGAAUAUUGUAAAAGCUGUGGAGUCAUUUAGACCGGGAUGAAAUGCCAGAACUACUAUACAGCAGCUGUGUGGCUUUGGGACGCCAAGUUCUCAGGAGCGCCUUGGCCCAGCGCGGACCCUGAGCUGCCCCGCCCUGCUCACCUGCUGAAGACGAGGCAGCCCAGG